CCUACGGGAGGCAGCAGUGGGGAAUUUUGGACAAUGGGCGCAAGCCUGAUCCAGCAAUGCCGCGUGAGUGAAGAAGGCCUUCGGGUUGUAAAGCUCUUUUGUCAGGGAAGAAACGGUGUUUCCUAAUACGGAAUGCUAAUGACGGUACCUGAAGAAUAAGCACCGGCUAACUACGUGCCAGCAGCCGCGGUAAUACGUAGGGUGCAAGCGUUAAUCGGAAUUACUGGGCGUAAAGCGUGCGCAGGCGGUUAUAUAAGUCAGAUGUGAAAUCCCCGGGCUCAACCUGGGAACUGCAUUUGAGACUGUAUGGCUAGAGUGUGUCAGAGGGGGGUAGAAUUCCACGUGUAGCAGUGAAAUGCGUAGAUAUGUGGAGGAAUACCGAUGGCGAAGGCAGCCCCCUGGGAUAACACUGACGCUCAUGCACGAAAGCGUGGGGAGCAAACAGGAUUAGAUACCCUGGUAGUCCACGCCCUAAACGAUGUCUACUAGUUGUCGGGACUUAAUUGUCUUGGUAACGCAGCUAACGCGUGAAGUAGACCGCCUGGGGAGUACGGUCGCAAGAUUAAAACUCAAAUGAAUUGACGG
rnacentral:rRNA from 1 species